AAAUGCAUAGGUAGGGGUUUCAUUUUCAUCUCAUUUUUUCAUAUUAUGAUAAAAUUUUCAGUUUUCCACAAUUGUUAAUAGUAAAUUUUCAACUUAUAAAUUAGUGACAGAAAAUGAAGUGCUUUAAUUAAUUAAAACCGACCAGGAUGAAUCUAAACUUGCUCUGCGUUAUAAAUUACUUGUCUUCUACAAGGUGCUUUACCAAACUGAAACAUUGUAGUUCCACAUUGUAAAUGUUAAAAGCAUAAUUUAUGAAACAUCAAAUUGGAAAUUUGUUCAACAGUUGUGAUUGUUGCUUACUAUUAUUUUUCUCAUCUUCAUUCCCCUGUCGUGUCUGUGUUCUUUUGUAGAUAUAGCAUAUAUUGUCCAAGAAGGAAAUUCUCCAUAUAUAUUAAUUAAUUUGGAGGAAAAUUGAAUAGUAACUGGAGAUUUCAAUACAGUAGCAAAAUGAUUCUGCUUUGGAGUUGAUAAAAUAUCCAUAGGGGAUUUUGGUGGGUACCAAAAUUCAGAUAUUAAAAUUCAUACUUAAUUCUUACUGACAGUUGACUUGUUAUUGGUUGUUUUUUUUUUUUUUUAAUUCAUAGGACCAAUGGUGGAGUCGGUUCAGCUUCAUUGUUUAGUUCCAGCGUUGGUAUCAUCUGGUAUCUCAAUACUUGCUGCAUUUUCCUUCACUCAUAUCUUGAUUCAUUAGAAAGAUUGGUUAUUUGUGAGAUUGUUUUUUUCUUAUAUCCUUUGCUUCUGUGUUGAUGUAAGAUUAGGGAAUGACAAAUCUUUGGGAAUGCCACUGCUGAAUUGGAGCUUUAGCCUUACAAGGAGGAACACCUGAGCUGUAAGACCUUCAAUUUUAUUUACUGAAUGCUUGCUUUAUACAAGUGUUUGAACUGAUAUUUGGUGACAAUGCAAGUUGCCAACAGAUUUGUCAACACAAAGUCAAAGUAAUCUUUUGAGCUCCUUUUUGGGUUCUGGCAAUUCAGUCUUGGUGGAGAAGUAAGUUACCUUUGACUUUGACUUAUUAUCAUGAUUUUAUGUUCAUAUAAUGAUUUUCAGCAUCCUCACCAUUUUUCCCAUAUUUAUCAAUGGGAUUAUAUAAAUCCAGAAUUUGCAACAGAUCUCAAAACUCGUGGGAUAAACACAUAGAGCUGGAGGCAACCUUUGACAGUUUUCAUUCUCAAGCUAGAUUGGGUUAGUUUCAUGGUAGAGCUAUUGGAGUUGAUAUUUGUUAAGCUUUGGCCUGCAUUGCAACAAAAGACCAGCAGUAAAAUUCAGCUCUGUCAAGCAGCAGCAUUGUUCUGAAGUGAAGAAAUGAAGCUGGUCCGAAUGCAGCAACUUAUUUUGAGUGUUUUGUUCCUAUGUAACUUUGUCUAGUUCUUUUGUAAUUUGACAGCAAAGUUAGUAGGAUGAUUUGAUUGAUUUGUGUUGAUGUAAUAUCUAGUAUGUUAGCUUUCUUUUAUGUACAAGUUAAGCAUGUUUUUGUUUAUGUAUUAAGUGGGAGCAGUUAACUAUUUGGUAACUAUCCAAUUACCACUACACUAAAAUAAGUUUUUUAGCGGCGUUUUUUUAUGCCUUUAGCGGCGCUUAUUUGUGGCGUUUUUGAAAGCGUCGCAAAAAAUGCCGCUGUCAACGCCACAAACAUUUGCGGUGUUUUUAGAAAUACACCAAUAUCCGGGCUUCUAUAAGAGUUGCUGAUGGGCUUUGUAGCCAAAACUGAAUUCGGGUAGUACACCUUUUCAUUAUCAAGUUUCAGGAAGACGGUCGUUAAAAUAUUCAUCUCCUCGACCAGCAACUGUUAGUUACCAUUACCAAGUGAUAAGCAUAAUUAGUAACUUUCCCAUACAUGCAUGUAAGAAUGUCAUUUUCAAUAGUUACCUGAACACCAUCAACCACACAACUAUCGCCGACAUCAAAAGGAUGCAUCACAAACACGAAUACUAUAGCUUCAAAAAUAGUCUUGCAGGUGUUUCCGAACAUAAAAGCAGCCACUACAAGCUGUGAUGAAAGGAGCAAAAGCAGUUUCUGGUUGCAAUUUCCAGCAAAAGAAGCCAUAUGAUGACAGUCACGAGUGUAUUCAACUGCUUUACAGCUGUUUUGGUGUCACUCAAAGCAUGUACUAGUGUUUUCCGAUCCGUGUAAACCUUUACCUGUACAAAAUAACAACAACGAGCAUGUUAAUAAAAAAAAAUCCUCAUCUUUAAGGAUGGUUUUCCUUCAUUGCAGCAACACCCUAUAGUGUCCGAUUGUGUUCAAACCAUAAAAUACAACAAGAUUAUCUUGUUCAAGUAACCUUUUCAACUUUGGGUUUUCAUUGGACCUAUUCAGCAGGCUCUGAAAUUGAUCAAAAGACCAUUCAUCCAAAAAGGAUGCAUCUGCAUUUACAUCAAUUGAAAUAAGCAUCGAACAAGAGUGAAAAUCAUAAAGAUGAAAUACAAUCAUUAGUAAGCAUCAUAAAACAAGGAUUUCAAGAAAGCCAAAUAUAUAGAAUGCUGAUACAAUUUAGUUGUAAACCUUGAAAGGUGCCAACAGAUAAAGCAUGCUCAUAUCAAUGUAAUCUAAUUGGAAUAGAAAUAAACAAGGUAUGAUUGGAAGCAAAGAAGCAGUAUCCAAAAUUACUAGCAGAGGUAUUUAAUUAAUAGUUCAAAAAAGAACAGUUUGAUGAGUUCUUUUUUUUUUUUCAUUUUAAGCUUCUUUCUUUUCUUUUAGAACGAUUUCAUCAUUUAUAAGAGAAAUUUUCCUUACAGAAAGAGUAACAUACUCUGAAUCUUAACAAAUUUGUAACAUAUAAAAAUUUAGAACUUACAGAAAGAGUAUAAGGUGCAUUUAGACGGAUGUCAAUCUGCACGAACAGCACGAACAGUCCAAGGAGGAGUGUUAAGCUUUGGCCUGCAUUGCAACAAAAGACUAGCAGUAAAAUUCAGCUCUGUCAAGCAGCAACAUUGUUCUGAAGUGAAGAAAUGAAGCUGGUCCGAAUGCAACAACUUAUUUUGAGUGUUUUGUUCCUAUAUAACUUUGUCUAGUUCUUUUGUAAUUUGAUAGCAAAGUUAGUAGGAUGUUUUUAUUGAUUUGUAUUGAUGUAAUAGCUAGUAUGUUAACUUUCUUUUAUGUACAAGUUAAGCAAGUUUUUGUUUAUGUAUUAAGUGGGAGCAGUUAACUAUUAGGUAACUGUCCAAUUACUUGUGUAACUCAUAUAUCUUUCAAAAUUUGAAUGAAAAAUAGAGAGUUUCAGUUACAUCUUUGCUGAGUUUUCAUUUUUCAGUUUUAUUCUUGCUUCAUUCGUUUUCUUUUGUUGCUGAAAAAUCCAACAAUAUUUUAUUAUCUUGGAUUUUGAUUAUCAUAUCAGUUUGGGCCGAAAUUUCUUUUUAUGUUACUGCUCUCAUAUUGUUUGAGCAUUGUAGUGAGGAGAGAUUAAGAUUCAUACUUGAAUUCUUUUUGACAGGUGACUUGUUAUUGGCUGGUUUUGAUUCAUAGGAUCAGUGGUGGACAUCAUUCAGCUUAAUUGGUUAGGUUCCACCAUUGGUACUCAUGCCAUAGGCAGCAAGUAGAGAUUUAAUCAUAUUGCAUCUCAAUACUAUCUGCAUUUUACUUCAAUGAUUUGUUCACCCAUUGAUUUAUGUUUCAUAUUUCCUUUGAAAGUUGGUAAAUAUAUAUAUAUAUAAUAUUUCAGUUCAUGAUUUCUAAUUUAUAUUCAUGUUAGCUAAGGUAAACCUACCAACUAUUACCUAAAUAUAGUCAACAUAUUUUCGAGAUUGGUUAAUCUUAUAACCUAUGCUUUUAUAUUGAUCUAGGAGUAGGUAUUUUCUAUUUGUUAUGUUCUAUUUUUUUUUAUUGACUGUGAUCUGUAGAUUUCAUAAAACUUGCAUGAUAGUCAAGCCAGACACAGAUUCAAUAGUCUACUGGAAUUGAAGUUGCAGAUUAUGGGUGGUUUUUUGAUAUGUUCUUUCUCACCAAAAAAUGAAGUUCCCACAAAAUCCACAUUUAUAGAUGUGCCCUUUUACCUAGAGAUUAUUGUGAAGGGAAUAAAGAUGGCAAUGAUUGAUGUAAGGAAAGCAGAUGAGGGAAUAAAUAACAGAUGUUUGUAACAAGUAAGCUUUUAAGCUCUUCAAUUUCUUCUACUGAAUGAUUUAUUUAUAUUGUGGUUGGACUUAGAUAUUGAAGCAGUACUGCAACUUGUCAACAGAGUUGCCUUGUUUAUCCCAUUGAGAGGAAGCAUAUUCUCUUGGGUAAAUUACUAUUGACUCGUUCUGAUUAUUAGCAUCCUCAUGGCAUUCUUUUCCCCUGAUUUAUCAAUGGACCAUAUAAAUGCAUGUAGAAUUUGGCAGAGUUGCUCUCAUCUCAAAACUCGUUGAAUGAACACAUGGAGCCUGGAUGUUAUUUUCAAUGCCAACCCUAUCACAGUUUUCAUUCUUAAGCUAGAUUGAUGUUUACCCCACAGAGGAACCCAACAUAAACACCUGGAAAAAAAGAAUCCAAAUGAUUUUGCUUUAGUUGGAAAAUUCAAAAUGAAAAGUUGGUUUCAUGGUACAGCUAUUUGACUUGAUUGUUACAUCAGUUUGGGCUAAAACUUGAAUCAAUUUUCCCUUUUUGCAAUUAAAAUUCCAGAGUUCUACUCUGUUUUAGAAUUGGUUUGUACAUUGGUUCUGAUGUGAUGAUAUCCAUCAAGUUCAAGAUUCGAAGCUUAGUAAUUAAAAUAAUUUUCUGUAAUCCUAAACUAUGAUCUACUAUAAGAAAAAAACACAAAUUAUACAACUCUGAUUAUUUUAAAUUGCAGUAAUUACACAAAUUCAGGUCCAUUAGCAUUACAAAUUAGCUAGUGAUAGAUGUUGCUAGCUUGUAUCCACAAUUUUUCUUCUUACCAUUCAAAAAGUCACUUUCAAUCUCAUCCCCAUUUAAUAAAGUCACUUUUUCUUCUUACCAUUCAAAAAGUAGAAGCAAAAGCAAAGCUCCCACGGUUUAUUUGUGGUCUUUUUCCUCAAUCUCACAAUCCAUAUACUUUCAUGGCGUCUUCUUCAUCUUCUUCUCGUCAAAUGAUGCAUCAAGUUUUCUUAAGCACCAAGGGCCCGGUCUGACGGAAUUGAUGCAUAAUGACACAUAAUGACUAUGUCUUAGUUAUAAUGUAGAAUCCGCUCAAGGUUUAUGACUUAGUUAAAUCCUUAAUGCAUUGAUUUGAAAAAAUAAAAACAAAAGAAAAGAAAACACUUUUUGUAUGUAAAAAUUCCUAAAAGUGCUCAAUUAGUCUAUGCCUAUCCUAAUAUAAUUAUUUUUUUAUGAGUUAUUUAAUGGAAUGUCUAUAAAUUUUUUCGGGAUAAUAUUUGAUAAAUUAAUUUUUGUUAUCAGAGAACUGAUCGAAUUCAAGGAAUAAAGUUAGACAUGUCACAUAUGGAUAACCUAUUAUUCUAACCUUUUGUUUUUGAAAACAUGAUUAAUCUUAGAUAUAUUUUCUUCUAUUCUCCUUAGAAUUUGUUGUGAAAAGAGCAUAAGUAUUAUAAGAAGCUACUUACAUACCAAGUUGAUAUUAUAUCUCUUCUGGAUGAGCUAAGGUAUCUUCAAUGGGAUUAUUACCCCUUCAAAUCUUAUCACCAAAUUUUAAUCCAAAAAACCUUGUUGUAUCGAGAUUAGCACAUGAAAAUAUGGAACAAAUUUGGAACGAAGGUCAUCAAGUAUAUAUACUUUUAUACUUUCUUCAUCCAAUAAUUUUUUAAGAAAAAUAAUUUAUAAUUGAUAUAACAUUUAAUCUUAUGAUAACAUAUUUUUAUUAAUUUUUUAAAAUAUAUAUAAAAGAUUUUAUUCUAUUUUUUUAUAAGAAGCAAUUUGAUAUUGAUGGUGGGUGAAUUAAUACACCCAAUACAUCAAAUAUAAAUUUUUAUUUUGAUAGAGUCUAAGUAAAUGAUGCUCUAACUACUUUAUAUUCUCAUCAUGUGCAGGAUCUUGUUCAUUUAUGGAAAAUUAAACUUUUUAGUUGCAAAAAUUUAAAGAAGAUCCCUAAUUUAAUAGGAGCCCUCAACCUUGAAAGACUUGACUGUGAAAAAUGCAAAAGUUUGGUUGAACUUCCUUGCCUCAACCAUUUGACAUCACUUAAAACCCUUCACCUUAAGGGAUGUCGUAGUCUCAAGAAGUUUCCGGAGAUCCCAAAUAAAUUUUAUGAGUUAGAUUUAUCAGAAACCGGAAUAAAAGAAGUACCUGAUUUCAUUGAGCAUCUCGACAAACUUCAACGGUUGACCUUGACAAACUCAAUGGUAAAAGAUGUAUCAAGCAAUAUUUCAAAGUUGAAAUCCCUUUCUUCUCUACAUCUUAGUGGUUGUGUAAUCGUUAAAUUUCCAAUUGUUGAUGUGCGCUCACCAAGCUUAAGGUUCAAAAGCCUUAUGUGUAAGCAUAUGGAUCGUUGCAAGAGCCUCAAAUUACUCUCAGAGCUUCCACCAUAUCUGCUCGACUUGAAUGUACAUGACUGCACGUCAUUAGAAAAAGUUCCCUUUGCAGAUCAAAAUUUAUAUCAGUUUGGUUCGUUAGGUGAUGAAGGUGAUGGUGUGUUUUGCAUGUUAUUCUGUAAUUGCUUCAACUUGAAUCAAGAAUCAACUAAUAACAUUGAGGCAAAUGCCAUGCUCAAAAUUGGAUCCCUAGCUAAGGAACGGGCAGCGACAUAUGGUAGGAAAUACCUGGGUGAUAUCCUUCCAAGUUUGAUUUGUUGUUUCCCAAGAAACAAAAUUUCAACAAAUAAGUUCAAGUAUCAGAGUAUGAAUUCUUCCUUAAGUUUGAAGAUAGCCCCAAAUGGGGGUGGUGGGAGCAGAUUUUUGGUUUUUGUUAUCUGCCUUGUGGCUGAUCUCGCUCACUGCCCUCGCUUGAGAAGUCUUAAAUGUAUUUGUGGCUACUAACUUACAGCCGCUGAUGGUGGUUAUGAAAAGUUCAAAAGUACCAUAUCUUUCUUGGAUGCUUCUGAGUCAGAGAAAUGCAUGGGUGAUCACGUGUUUAUUCUAUCUAGCAUCAAAAUGGUUAAAAGAGACGAGAAUUAUGAGGAGGCAUCAUUUGAUUUCUACAUCAAAAAUUUCCAUCAUUAUGAAGAAGCAGCAGAAAAAUUAUCAAGGUGGAGAGAUGUGGUGUUCUUGUAUUUUACGUAGAUGCAGAGAGUGAUGCUGAUGCUACAGAAAUGAGACCUGCCGAGACCAAAAGAAGCUUUAGCCAUGAUGGUGAAGAAGGGGAUGGAGGCCAUAAACGAUUUCAAUAGUUUUUAUUUCCUUUCAUUUUUGGCUCUGGUUUUCAGAAGUUACAACUUCUCAAUCAUGUCAUCCAAAUACAUAAAGGGGUUUUCAUCUCAUUCUUUCAUAUUACUCGAUUUUUUAUUUCAUUUUUCAUAUUGCCAUAUUUUUGUUUUUCAUAGGUGUUAAAACUAAAUUUUCAACUUUUAAAUUAAUUGCCUAUGAUAGAAAAUGAAGUGCUUUACUUAAUUAAAACCAACCAGGAUGAAUCUAACUUGCUCUGUUUAAAGUGUUAAGAGUAUAGAUAAAGACUCUAUUAGUCUAUUAGUUGUUAGUUUGUUAUACAAGCAGUUAUGCUGUUAAGUGAGAUUGUUAGCAGCAGUUACUCAUACACAUUUUAUAAAUACUAUAGUUGUACUGGUUAAAUUCAAGAUAAUAAUACAAAAAUCAUUCUCUGCAUAUUCUAUUUUUCUUUCAAGUUUUUGUAGAUAUUAACAUGGUAAACGUCGGACAACAAUGAUUGACAGAGGCAGCAACAUAUUCACUUGAUUAUUGAAGGUUAUGAAUUGACUGGUUUUUUUUGGAGGGAACGUUACCUGGUCUGCCGCAUUUUGUGCUGUCUUUGGAGGGAUCUCUAGUUCCAAAUCCGGAUGCCUCAGCAUUCUUUCAGCAGGAUAGGUUACUUGCCUCUUUCUGGUUAUUUUCUACUAUUAGUCCUUCACUGUUGUCUUCUUUUACAUAUGCUAGGAUGGCGUGCGAUGUUUGGAACACUGCCACUUGCCUCUUCACUACCGUCACAGGUGUCAAGUUAUCUUGCAUUCGCCAUGAUUUACACUCGCUUAAGAAAGGUAAUCUGUCGAUAAUGGAGUAGGUAGUAAAGAUUCAGAAUACCUGUGCUUUAAUCGAGGCUUGUCGAUCUUGGAUCUCGGAGGCAGAGAAAGUGGAUAUCGUACUUGUGGGCCUACCACCGGAGUUCAACGCCAUGCUCACCUUAGCGUCAUUCUUGUCGGAAGCCUUACCGUUACAACACCGCAUGGAUGAGAUGUUGGAGUAUGGAAGUCGCUAAAUUCGCGUGGUUCAGGAGGUGCCGUUUCAUGCUAACCUUUUGGAGACUAUUCCGUCACCGCCGGUGGUGGACUCUGUGCGUGUUGGCCGUCCCCUACUGGUGGUUGUGGGAAGAGGUUUCGAUCCAAACUCCAAUGUUAGAUCUGUGGUCAGUUUGGGCAUUAGCUCAACGUUUUUAAUAUUGUCAUAAUCGCGACUACAGUGGUCUGACAUUAGCGGCCUGGGCUUCAAAUUCGGCCGAUCGUACUAGGCAGGGUUCGGAUGUUGGUUUCUCAUUUCUAUCGCCCGCCUCUAGUCAGUUUGGUGGCCUUUCGUAGACGGCGCCAUCACGAUUUCUUUCUGGUAAAUGGUAGGGUGGUCACUUGUCUACUGCGCCUCCCCUGUAUAUGUCAUACACUAGGGUUUUUAACCCCUUUUUUUUUGCGUUUGAUGAUGGAGCAGGCCUACCGCUUGGGCAUUAUGCUGGGUUAAGCCAACCAUUUGGGCUUGGUCAUGAGUAGCGGUUUGAGCCUGGUCAUGAGGCAGUUCACUGGGUUAGGUCCGUAUUUUGGGCUUGUAACUGGGUUCACUCGGCCAUUGGCCAAAAUCUUGGGCCGUCUGUGCGUGGUAGGCCAUCUGGCCCAUGCUAGGACUUUAGGGGUGAUUUUUCUCCAGUUGGGUCCACUGCUAAUGUUUCUCCAAAUGGGCCAACAUUUAAUUGUGUGGAGUUUACAAGCCCUCGUGGUCGUGUACGAGGGCUUGAGCCUUCAGAUGGUGGUGUUUGUACUACGUUUGGGUCAUAUAAUGGGUUGUGUAUUCCCUGGCAGACAAAAAUAAGAGCUCGUGUUUAUAUUGGGUCAGAUCCAUGCAUUGGAUUGCCUCGAAUUCCUGAUUUACAUACGUCUAAUGUCUCUAACUCUACUGGGUCUAAUAUUAAUGCCACUCAUUUUGGGUCCAAUUUUGAUAAUGAUGAUUCGUAUAUUCCUAUACCUAUAGGAACUUCGUCUUGGUAUCUGGAUUCAGGGGCAAUGCCUCUGCUUUGAAUGAGUCUACACCAUACUCAAGUACAUUCCCUCUCUUAAUAGGUGAUGGGACUCCUAUGCUUGUAGGAACUUCACUUAUUUUUUAUGUAAAUUUUUAUAAAUAUAUUUGUUACGUAACUAUGUUAUUUGAAUGUGCUAGUGUCACGGGCCAAAGUCUAAAGCCCGUGACCAUGACACAAGAUGUGCCCCAUGGAGUUCAUCAAUUAAAUAGGGAACAUUUAGCCCACGAGAACUGGCUCGAUUCAAAGAAUUGUUGGAGAAGCCUGUCAGAUUGAAGCCUGGUUGGCCCGAUAAUGAAGACAUGGCAACUUAGGCUAAUUUUGGUAACUAAUCUUAGAAGAUAGAGAGAAUCAUAUCUUGCAAAGAUUAGAUUAGAUUUGAUAUGACAAAUAUUGUAAAUCCCUAAAAUUAAGGGAUAUGGUUAAUCUCGUCCGUUGAUGUAAAUGUAUCUUGAUCGUCGAUUUUAGGGGAGCUCAACUAUAAAUAGAGAGCCUCCCCUCAUUUGUACUCAUCCAUUGUAAGAUUGAAUUCUUAAAAGUAAUAGAAUUCAGAGAGCAUUUAUUCAAACACCUUGGGUGUGUUCUUUUCUGUGACUUUCUCUUGUUCUUUCAUUUUUCUUCUUUUGGCAUAAAUCGCUUCCGCUCUUCAAUUCGGUGCCUUGGAGGAGUUCUUAAGGAAUCUUCACUUUAGUAAAGGCUGACUUAGGCGAGUUUGGACGAACGGAUCGCCUAAGGCCGCACGGAUCGUGAGACGACAGUUCUAGCCCCGUGACACUAGAAUCUAUCUCUAAUUAAAGCCAUUAUUUAAGUGAUGAAAAAAAAAAUAUUCUUAGUGAUGGAAUUUAAAUAGCUUAUUAAUGACAAUCUUUAAUAGAAAAUAAUAGCAUCACACAAAUGUUUAAAGAUGUGAGUUCGAGUGUGUUUAAAUGUGUCUUUUCUUUCUAUUUAAAGGUGAGAAAGAAUUACGUGUAGCUAUAGGCUUUGUAUAAAAAAAAGAAAUAAAUUUUAAUAUGUUUGAAAAUUCAACCAAAAAUCCAUUUAAUAAAAGGUUCCCACUGAUGAUGGAUCUAUAAUUUAAACUUUUCUUCUUCAAAAGGCAAACCAAAGCUCCCUUGCUAUAAAUUUUUCUCUUUGCCUCACUCACAUUAUCCAUAAUCUUUCAUGGCGUCUUCUUCAUCUUCUUCUCGUCAAAUGAAGCACCAAAUUUUCUUGAGCUUCAGAGGUGAAGACACACGCCUUAACUUUACCAGUCAUCUACUCAAAGCUUUGAAAGGCACAGGACUGAAUGUCUUCUUCGAUGAAGAAAAACUAGAGAAAGGGGAGCAACUUUCACAAGCACUUUCUCAAGCAAUUGCAGCCUCAAAUCUCUCAAUCCUUGUUUUAUCUAAAGGCUAUGCUUCUUCGAAAUCAUGCUUAGGUGAACUCUCUCAGAUCAUGAAGUGUAAAAAGACUCGAGGGCAUAUUGUUCUUCCUAUCUUUUACCAUGUUGAUCCCUCCCAUGUGCGAAAUAUUGGUGGGACUUCUAAGACAUCUGUUGGUGUUAUGAAUAAUAUGCAAGCAAAUUUUGCUGAGACUUGAGCAACAAGGCUCGAGGCUUGCAGAAGAAACAAAAAUGAAUUCAAGAGCAGAAUUAAGCUUUUGAAACACUAAAAAUGGAAGCUAAGAAGAGAGAGUAUUGGAUAAUGAAAUUUGAAUGAAUUUUCAUUAAAAUUAUCAAGUGGCUGGUCAAUGAGUUACAAAAUCAUCACCUAAACAAUACCUACUACCACUAAGCACAUUGAAACUUGAUAAAGUUAACUUGUACACUUUGUAAAGCUGAUUUAACAGCUCAUUCUUCACCUAAUAACAUCAAGUACAAAAGCUACUUAGUUUUUAAUCCAACUAAGUUACAAAACAUCACUUGAAGAAACAAAAUGGCAACAGUAGCUUGAUCUUCUGCUGCAACUUCACUGGCUCGGGCUGUUUCUGGUGCAACAAGGCAGCAUGCUGGCCAACUUCAACAACAUCCUUCGGAGAGCAUGAAUCAAAGAGGCCGGUUGAUGAAGUGAAGCGAUCAAAAGCCGCCUUCACUGAAGUCCGUACGUUAAAAGGGUGGCAUAUAGAAGGAGGCAAAUUCGAUAGGUAACUAUAUAUAUAUAUAUUCAUCUUAUUAUAUUUGACAUAUCUUUCUUUUGAGGGCUGGUUUUUUUAAUCAUUUUCUAGAUCUGAAACUAAGUACAUUAAAGAUGUGGUUGGAUAUGUUUUAAAAAAGUUGAAUAGCAAUUGUAGAAGUGUUUCUGAAGAAUUGGUCUGAACAGAUGAUCAAAAGAAGAUGAUUUUGGGGUUGAUUGAGCAAAUGGACGUGCGUGUAAUAGAUGAUUUUGGGGUUGAUUGAGCAAAUGGACGUGCGUGUAAUAGGACUUUGGGGAAUGGGUGGUAUUGGCAAAACUACCCUUGCUGAUGCUGUUUAUAAAGAAGUCUUUCCAAAGUAUGAAUGUCGUUUGUUUCUCAAAACAUUAGUGAGAAAAUAAAAAAACAGGGGAAUGAAUCUUUACGAAAUGAACUUCUUUCCAAACUGUUAAACGAAAAAGAAAUUUGUAUUGAUACCCCUUCCAUAGGUUACCCUUAUCAAGAGAGGCUGAAUAAUAAAAAAAGUACUUCUUGUCCUUGAUGAUGUUAGUGACCCAGACCAAAUAGAUUUUAUGGGUGUCACAUAUUUUGGUCCUGGAAGUAAAAUCAUUGUAACAUCUAGAGAUAGACAAGUACUAAAAAAUCAAAGAGCUCACCGCAUAUAUAAGGUUAAGAAGUUGAAUGAGAAUGAUUCUCUUCAACUUUUUUCUACAUUUGCAUUUAAGUUGUUGAAUCCUGCAGUUGAUUUUCGAGAUCUAUCAUGCAAGUUUGUAGAAUAUGUCCAAGGUAGUCCACUUGCUCUUAAAGUUUUGGGUUCUGAACUAUAUACGAAGUCGAAAAAAGAGUGGGAGGGCAAGGUGAAUAAACUAAAGCAAUGUGCAGAAUUUAAAAUUUCACAUAUUUUGAAGAGUAGCUUGGAUGAGCUCGAUGAGGAAGAAAAUAAUAUAUUUCUUGACCUAGCAUGCAUCUUUAAAGGGCAAGCCAUGGAUUAUGUAGAAAAAGUUCCAAGUAAUUGUUAUAAGGGUGCAACAUGUGGAAUAAGUAAAUUGGUCGACAAGUGUCUACUUGAGAACAAAUAUGGAUGUGUUUUUAUGCAUGACAUGGUUGAAGAGAUGGGCAAGGACAUUGUUAUGCGAAAAUCUGAAUGCCCCGGAAAGCGAAGUAGAUUGUGGAGUUGUGAAGACAUGGAAGAAGUGUUCAAAUAUGAUAAAGUAAGUGUUAAUUGCAUUUAUUUUCUUUUCACUCUUUGGUAGGUUUAAUAGAUGUUGUUGUGUACCAUGUAUUAUCUUUUUUAAUUAUUAUUUCAAAAAAUAAAAUUAUUUGUUUCUUACCAUAAACAUAAUGACCAAAUGUCUUACGAUACAACAUGGAAUUUUGUAAAAAGUUUUUUGGGUUAGUUAAAUAUCUAAUGCAUUUUUAUGACUGAUUUAAUAGAAUGUCGAUAAAUUUCUUUAUGUUAAUCUAUGAUUUUUUAUUUAUCAGGUGACUGAGUUUUUUAAAGGAAUAAAGUUAGAUGUAACUCAAACUGGUAAUCAACAAUUUUGUGCUACCGGUUUUGAGAAGAUGCAUAAGCUUAGAUAUAUCAACAUUAGGUAUUUUGCACAUACUUUAUGGGAACCUCCACCCCAAUAUGCAAACAAAGUUGAUAGUAUAUCUCUUCCCUUCAAAACUUUAUCAAGUUUUAAUUCAAAGAAUCUUGUCGUAUUGAUAUUACGACGUGGUAAUGUGGAACAACUUUGGAAUGAAGAUGAUCGUAUGGUAUGCGCUUUCAUAUUUUCUUCGCCUAAAAUUUUUUUAAGGAAAAAAAAUAUUUAUUAUUUGAUGUAUCAAAUAACAUCUUAUUUAAAGUUUUUAAAUUUAUUUAAAUAAGUGACAUGAUCUAGUAAUUGUGGCUGAAUUUACGCCCAACAUAUCAAAUAUAAAAUUUUAUUUUUUAGUAUUAUAAUUAUUCAUUUCCUUUCCAUUUUUUAAUGCUUAAAAGUAAUACAGUUAAUUUUUCUAUACAGGACCUUGUUAAUUUAAGGCAAAUUGACGUUUCAGGGAAUCUUUCAGGAGCCAUCAACCUUGAACUCCUUGAUUGCUCUUUAUGUAAAAGUUUGGUUGAACUUCCUUGCCUCAAUCAUUUGGCAUCUCUUCAUCAUGAUAAGCUUCACCUUGAGGGAUGUUAUAGGCUCAAGAAGUUUCCUCAGGUCCCAAGACACUUUUGUUCUUUGGGUUUAGAAAUAACUGAAAUAGAAGAAGUGCCUGAUUCAAUUGAGCAUCUCCACAAACUACAGAGAUUGUCGUUGAGCAAGUCAGAGGUCAAAAAAGUAUCGAUCAAUAUUUCGAAGUUGGAACUCCUUGGUGAAUUGAUUCUUAGUAAUUGCCCAGUGAUCAAAUUUCCAGAAAUCCCAAAAAGCUUAACAAAAUUAAACUUAUCUCGCACUCAAAUUGAAGAAGUGUCGUUGCCUUUCGACUCUCUAUGUAAUCUUCAGGACUUAAAUAUCAGUGGCUCAGCGGUCAAAAAUGUAUCGAUCAAGUUGGAUUCCCUUCGUAAACUGAAUCUUAGUGAAUGCUCGAUGAUCAAAUUUCCAGAAAUCCCAAGAAGCUUAAUAGAAUUAAAUUUAUCUGGCUCUCAAAUUGAAGAAGUGUCCUUGCCUUCGACUCUCUAUGUAAUCUUCAGGUCUUAAAUAUGAGUGGCUCAGCAGUAAAAAAUGUAUCGAUCAAGUUGGAAUCCCUUAAACUGGAUCUUAGUGGUUGCCCAAUGGUCCAAUUUCCAGAUGUCCCAAGAAGUUUAACACACUCAAAUUGAAGAAGUGUUAUUGCCUUUCGACCCUUUAUGUAAUCUCGUGUACUUAAAAGUGAAAGGCUCAGCGGUAAAAAAUGCAUCGAUCAAGUUGGAAUCCCUUCGUCGACUGGAUAUUAGUGGUUGCCCAAUAGUCGAAUUUCCAAAAGUCCCGAGAGGCUUAAUAUGGUUACAGUUAUCUGACACUCCAAUUGAAGAAGCGGCCUUGUCUAUAGACUCUUUAAGUAAUCCUAGGGAGUUAGAGAUGAGCGGCUCAAGUAUUCCAAAGCUACAGUGUAAUAUCUCCCUGUUCGAUUCAAGAGAGUUUCCCACUGUUGAUGUGCCCCCACCAAGCUUGAGGUCUAAAACCCUUAGGUAUAUGUGGAUGGAUCGUUGCAAGAGCCUCAAAUUACUCUCAGAGCUUCCACCAUAUCUGCAAGGCUUGAGUGUACAUGACUGCACAUCAUUAGAAAAAGUAUCCUUUGCAGAUCAAAGUUUAUAUCAGUUUGAUUCUUUAGUUGAUGAUGACAAUUACAAUGUGUUUUGCAUGAUAUUCUAUAAUUGUUUCAACUUGAAUCAAGAGUCAACUAAUAACAUUGAGGCAAAUGCCAUGCUCAAAAUUGGAUCCCUAGCUAUGAAAUGGGCAGCGAGAUAUGGUAGGAAAAAACGGCAUGAUAACUUUCGAAGUUUUUAUUUCUUUUCAUCUUUGCCUCUGGUUUUCAGGAGUUACAACUUCUCAAUUAUGUCAUCCAAAUGCAUUGGUAAGGUUUUCAUUUUCAUCUCAUUUUUUCAUAUUAUCAUACAUUUUUCAGUUUUUUUAUGUCAUUUUGCAUAUUGCCAUACUUGUGUUUUUCACAAUUGUUAAAACUAAAAUUUCAAUUUACUUAAUUAAAACAAACCAGAAUGAAGCUAACUUGCUCUGCUUUAUAAAUUGCUAGUCAUUUAGAAGGUGCUUUACCAUCUUCGAGAAACUGAAAACUUGUAGUUCCACAUUGUAAAUGUUAAAAGCAUAGUUUAUGAACAUAAAAUGGAAAUUUGUUCUAUAGUUGUGGUAGUCUUCUUAUUAUUUUUCUCAUAUCCAUUCCCCUGUUGUGUCUGUGUUCUUUUGUAGGUAUAGAAUAUAUUGUCUAAGAAGGAAAUUCUCCAUAUUAAUUGAUUUGGAGGAAAAUUGAAUGGCAACUGGAGAGAUUUCAAUACAGUAGCAAAAAGAUCCUGCUUUGGAGUUGAUAAAAUAUCCAUAAACAGCCCAAAUUAAUAGAAUCAUACACAAAAUAUAUAUGUAAUUAGCUCGUAAAAGUAUGUCAUUUUAGAGUAUUAUCAAUAGGGGUUAGUGGUAGGUGCCCAAAUUUAGAUAUUAAGAUUCAUACUUAAAUUAUUCAGCCUAAUUGUUUAGUUUCUAACAUCGGUGCUUAUAUGUUAUCAACUCAUGAUUACAUGAUUUCAUGUUAAUUAGAAAGAUUGGUUUCUCUUAUAACCUUUGCUUUUAUGUUGAUUUAGGAGUAGGUGUUUCCUAUUUGUUGUGAGAUUCGACACUCAACAGAACUUGCAGAUUAUGGAUGGUUCUGAUAUCCUCUUUCUCACCAACAAAACAAGUUCCCAUGAAAUUUCUGGUAUUAAAGUCAAGUUUGUGACCAAUGCAAAAUAUUUUUAGCCAAUAAUGAGUUGGAGCUUUAGCCAUAUGAGGAAG
rnacentral:lncRNA from 1 species